rnacentral:rRNA from 2 species
AGCCUGAUCCAGCCAUGCCGCGUGUGUGAAGAAGGCCCUCGGGUUGUAAAGCACUUUCAGUGAGGAAGAAUGCUUGUGGGUUAAUACCCCGCAAGAAGGACAUCACUCACAGAAGAAGCACCGGCUAACUCCGUGCCAGCAGCCGCGGUAAUACGGAGGGUGCGAGCGUUAAUCGGAAUUACUGGGCGUAAAGCGCGCGUAGGCGGCUUGAUAAGCCGGUUGUGAAAGCCCCGGGCUCAACCUGGGAACGGCAUCCGGAACUGUCAGGCUAGAGUGCAGGAGAGGAAGGUAGAAUUCCCGGUGUAGCGGUGAAAUGCGUAGAGAUCGGGAGGAAUACCAGUGGCGAAGGCGGCCUUCUGGACUGACACUGACGCUGAGGUGCGAAAGCGUGGGUAGCAAACAGGAUUAGAUACCCUGGUAGUCCACGCCGUAAACGAUGUCGACUAGCCGUUGGGGUCCUCGAGACCUUUGUGGCGCAGUUAACGCGAUAAGUCGACCGCCUGGG